rnacentral:lncRNA from 1 species
GAGUCAAUAUGAAUAAGAAAGGCUAGAACUCUCAGUUUGUUUAUCACUUGACCUGGUUGUUUAUCUUCACGGUAUUGGAGCUCGUUGCCUGAAGAUCGUCGCAAAGUGCAAGCAACCUACCACAGAGACGAGUGACCUUUUUUUUAAAAAAAAAAAUAAGAGGAGUGACCUUUAGUAACAAGGUAAACUCCCCCAGUCCCCCUGGAGAAAGAAAAAGAACACCG